rnacentral:rRNA from 1 species
UACGGAGGGCUAGCGUUGCUCGGAAUCACUGGGCGUAAAGCGCACGUAGGCGGCUUUCUAAGUCAGGGGUGAAAUCCUGGAGCUCAACUCCAGAACUGCCUUUGAUACUGGAGAGCUUGAGUCCGGAAGAGGUGAGUGGAACUCCGAGUGUAGAGGUGAAAUUCGUAGAUAUUCGCAAGAACACCAGUGGCGAAGGCGGCUCACUGGCCCGUAACUGACGCUGAGGCACGAAAGCGUGGGGAGCAAACGGG